rnacentral:antisense_RNA from 1 species
CGGCCUUUGUGCCUUUUUAUUCUUUGCUUACCUUUAUGAUAUAAAGACCUUAUUUCUUACAAGGAGGAAAAGACCGCUGACUUCAGAAACAGCGGGAACUCCAGCUCGUCCCCGGUAAGACGGCCGUGGCCUGUCAGCUGGAACGGUCCUGCCGGAUGGAUUGCUCUUUGAGAGCGUACACUCCCGCGUGCGCGACACCAGGUGGCCCGUAGGUUCCAGGUGCCGAGCACGCUACCUCCUCAGUUUACCUAAGUGCCCUACCAGUAUCAUAUUCUGUGUAUGCUGUGAUGUGAACGAGGUUUGUAAACACAGGCCGGUCUAAUGGAGCCCAGUGAGACCGCCAGAGGAUUAGUGUCUGUCUUGUCCAACAGUACUCGACUUGCUGGUAGAGCCCUAAUGACUGAGGGCUGCCCACAAGGGAAAGGUGAGAGAACCUUCACGUCUCUCAGGUAGUUUCCAGCCUGCACUUUCCCCCAGCUAAAGAUAAGUUUUGUUAUUUUUAAAAUUCUCUUUAUUUAGAGCAAAUUCAGCCCUAUCUCAGAUCGGGAAAUUAUAUAGUAUCAAAAGAGAGAGUCUUCAUAUUAGCAACCCAAAUAAAUAAACUAUUUUCCUGGGUGAUCAAAUAAGUUUGAUUCCUGCUUGAGUUCUAUUUAGAUACUAGGUGGAAUUUUACAAAGGGUCUACGUUCCAUGAACUGUAAUGGAAUGAAAAUAUUCACAAUCUAAAGACAUUUUCACAUUCUCAGUUUACAGCUGAGGAAACUAAGCU